ACCUGGUUGAUCCUGCCAGUAGUCAUAUGCUUGUCUCAAAGAUUAAGCCAUGCAUGUCUAAGUACACGCCCUAGCAAGGUGAAACCGCGAAUGGCUCAUUAAAUUCAGUUAUGGUUCCUUAGAUCGUACACAUUUACUUGGAUAACUGCGGUAAUUCUAGAGCUAAUACAUGCAAUUGAGCCCUCGUCCCUUUUAGGGUGAGGGUGCUUUUAUUAGACCAAGACCAAACGGGGGCAACUCCGAUAAUCGUGGUGACUCUGAAUAACUAUGGCGGAUCGCACAGUCCUAGCACUGGCGACGCAUCUUUCAAGUGUCUGCCUUAUCAACUUUCGAUGGUAGGUUAUGCGCCUACCAUGGUUGUUACGGGUAACGGGGAAUCAGGGUUCGAUUCCGGAGAGGGAGCCUGAGAAACGGCUACCACAUCCAAGGAAGGCAGCAGGCGCGCAAAUUACGGGGAGGUAGUGACGAAAAAUAACAAUACGGGACUCUAACGAGGCUCCAUAAUUGGAAUGAGUACAUUCUAAACCUUUUAACGAGGAUCUAUUGGAGGGCAAGUCUAGUGCCAGCAGCCGCGGUAACUCUAGCUCCAAUAGCGUAUAUUAAAGUUGUUGCGGUUAAAAAGCUCGUAGUUGGAUCUCAGUCGCGCUCCCUUCGAUGCGUUGCAAAGCGUCUAUCGUUGGGGCCGACAGCACGUUGGUGGGCCCGGUUGGCUUUUACCGGUUGAUCGGGUUCUCCGGCAAUUUUACUUUGAAAAAAUUAGGGUGCUCAAAGCAGGCUGGUGCCUGGAUAUUGGUGCAUGGUGCACAUCAACUUUUGUAUAAGAAAUUGAAACUGACGUGUAUGUUUCUUUUUGAAAUAAAACAAUUCCGACUGCCAUUAUUGCAAUGAUAAGAUAACGGGAGGGCCUGGCUCAUCAGUAGUGAACUCUCCCAGCGGUUUCGCCAGUUUAAUCUACCAUUGUAAUAUUGCAUUUUCCUUUUAUACCUAUACUGAAUCUGACCUUUUUCAAAUAGAAUUUUAAAUGAAAUAAACUUUGAGGACAGUAGAAAUACAUAUAAUAUGUUUAGAUCAAUUUCUCUUCAGUAAACAUCAAGUAGUCUUUUUUAAAGAACAAUUAUAAUAUUAACGCAUUGCAUCAUGAUUCGGCUUAUAUAGUCUGCACUUGAAGUUUUAAUCUUAUUUAUGGUGUUUAGCCAAAUUUCGCAAAUAUGUUUUUUUCUUGAGCAUAAAUAUUAAAAGACAAGACUGUCUGUUUAAGCAAUAUCAAAAAGCAGACAACAUGACCCUGAUAAAGUUGGCAAUAAUGAGUCAAUUCUUCCCAAAUAUUCUUGAUUUCACUAAUUAUGUAAAUUUGUUCAAUAUAUAUGAUCGAAUGUUGUUAAAUAGAGAAAACUUGGCAGUUUCCAUUUGGGCACUCGCAAGUUGAAUACAUUGUCUUCAAUAAACUCAUUUUUCAUAUGAAAAUUCAAUCAGGUGCCCUUUAUAUAGGAUAUUCAACAUAUUUAAUAUUCAGGGGCCUAAUUAAAAAAAGAACGAGCUGGACAGUCAGAUAUAUAAGGGGAAAAAACUAAUGGGAAAAAUAGGUGAAAAACAGACGGAAGUGACCCCGAAGACAGAAUUUCAUCUAUUAGAUUGUUUGUUCUAGCGAUGUCGUGGUUCUUGUGUUACUGUCCAACUCCGUGGUGUGUGUGUGCAGGGAUUGGCUGUCAACCCCUUGACAAGUAAGGGACUCUUAGAUUUUCUCAAGAAGAAUUACCAUGAAGAUUAUAACAAGUGGACUUUAUACCAAAACUGUUCUAUUCAGAGUCUCAUCUUUGAAGGCUGCAUUGCCGAGAAUAUGAAAAACAGUAUCAGAGUUUUAGGAGCACAAGUUUCCAACUUCCAAAUUAAUGUUUUGGUGAGUAUCUACAGACGACAUUAUUGAAUCGCACAAAAUGUUUUAAAUAAUAUCAUAGUAUUAUUCCUGACCGCUCACGUGAGCGCCAUCUAGUGGAACAA
rnacentral:rRNA from 1 species